UGGGGAAUAUUGCACAAUGGGCGCAAGCCUGAUGCAGCCAUGCCGCGUGUAUGAAGAAGGCCUUCGGGUUGUAAAGUACUUUCAGCGGGGAGGAAGGGAGCAAAGUUAAUACCUUUGCUCAUUGACGUUACCCGCAGAAGAAGCACCGGCUAACUCCGUGCCAGCAGCCGCGGUAAUACGGAGGGUGCAAGCGUUAAUCGGAAUUACUGGGCGUAAAGAGCACGCAGGCGGUUUGUUAAGUCAGAUGUGAAAUCCUCGGGCUCAACCUGGGAACUGCAUCUGAUACUGGCAAGCUUGAGUCUCGUAGAGGGGGGUAGAAGUCCAGGUGUAGCGGUGAAAUGCGUAGAGAUCUGGAGGAAUACCGGUGGCGAAGGCGGCCCCCUGGACGAAGACUGACGCUCAGGUGCGAAAGCGUGGGGAGCAAACAGG
rnacentral:rRNA from 1 species